AUUGAACGCUGGCGGCAGGCCUAACACAUGCAAGUCGAACGAGUGGCGGACGGGUGAGGAAUGUCUGGGAAACCGCCUGAUGGAGGGGGAUAACCACUGGAAAGGGUCGCUAAUACAGCAUACCAUCAGAUGCGCCCAGAUGGGAUUAGCUUGUUGGUGGGGUAACGGCUCACCAAGGCGACGAUCCCUAGAUGGUCUGAGAGGAUGACCCGCCACACUGGACCUGGGACACGGUCCAGACUCCUCCGGGGGGCCGCAGUGGGGAAUAUUGCCCAAGGGGCGCAAGCCUGAUGCAGCAAUGCCGCGUGUAUGAAGAGGGCCUUCGGGUUGUAAAGUACUUGCAGCGGGGAGGCGUUACCCGCAGAAGAAGCACCGGCUAACUCCGUGCCAGCAGCCGCGGUAAUUC
rnacentral:rRNA from 1 species